UCACCCAGGCAUUUCCAGACUGGUAGAGCAUGAGACUCUUAAUCUCAGGGUUGUGGGUUCAAGCCCCACAUUAGGUGAA